rnacentral:rRNA from 1 species
AACGAACGCUGGCGGCAUGCCUAACACAUGCAAGUCGAACGAGACCUUCGGGUCUAGUGGCGCACGGGUGCGUAACGCGUGGGAACCUGCCUUUUGGUUCGGAAUAACAGUGAGAAAUUGCUGCUAAUACCGGAUGAAGUCUACGGACCAAAGAUUUAUCGCCGAAAGAUGGGCCCGCGUAGGAUUAGGUAGUUGGUGGGGUAAAGGCCUACCAAGCCGACGAUCCUUAGCUGGUCUUAGAGGAUGAUCAGCCACACUGGGACUGAGACACGGCCCAGACUCCUACGGGAGGCAGCAGUUAGGAAUUUUGCGCAAUGGGAGAAAUCCUGACGCAGCAACGCCGCGUGGGGGAUGAAGGCCUUCGGGUCGUAAACCCCUUUUAGCAGGAACGAAAAAAAUGACGGUACUUGCAGAAAAAGCACCGGCGAACUCUGUGCCAGCCGCCGCCGUAAUAC